GCUAGGGUUCUCUCUCCCUGGCAGUUUCCACGGGGCAGCGAGGUGUCCCGCGACAAUGACUUACAAGGACACAGCCUUUGGUCAACAGCAUAUCACUCUCUACUGAAAGUAUGAGUCAUCUUGUCUGCACUAUAUGAAACUUGACAACAUUCCAGCAAUAAGACGAAACAGCUGGAGUGCUUCAAGUGUGGGAGAGUGCCGCCAUGAUUCCAAAGCUGAGCCGAGGACCAGACAAAGGGUGGGGGAGCUAAGGCAAGGCUCCCCCACCCCGCUGCCUACAAGGGGGUGGGGGAGCAGGGGCCAGCACUGCAGAACAGCAGCAGAACAGCGGCAGCGUGGGGCGUUAGGUGGUGGCACUGCAUCUCAGGCCCCUCCCCGCCUGUCAUUCUUGACGGGCAAUUGGCUAGUGUGUGUACACACACACACACACACAGAGUGCGUGUUGGAAUACAUUCAGGGAAGAAAAAGGAUGAGAUAAUACGAUGAGGCAGAUUAAAUACAGAGCCCCAUUCAGAGUUCUCGUGAGACUACGGUUAGGGGUGGAUCCGUCCUUUCCCAGGUUGGACAACACCUCUGUGCCUGUGCUGGGGAGAAGAGGAGCGAUCAACAGACACAGGCAAGGAAGACAACAGCGGGCGCAGAGUUUUGAGUCUCAGCAGAUGACUGAGACUGGCAACAGAAAAAGAAAAUGAAACUGAAAGUAGCAGGGCUGUGGAAAGAAGCCAGCUGCUGAAAACCCUGGAGCCUGGGAAGCUGAAACCUGCAGCCCAGGCAGUAAUCGAAACUCAUCAGUACAGCACCAGCAGCAGUAGAUUCCUCUGUCCCUUCCCUUCCUGGGCAGAUGCAAAAAGAGGGAGGAAACAAACCAAAACAGUGGGGAAAAAAACACAGAACAGAAAAAAAAAAUCUCAAACUGAGCCCUCCUCAUUUGCAGCUGCUGAAUGUGGGUCCGUAUGUCUGCUUUUAGUGACUGCCCCUGUGCUUUUUACAGAUCCCCAGAGUGGUGACACAUCCCCCCGCAAAUAAUAAAAUCAGUCUGAUAGCUGGCUGGUGGGUAAGCCUGGCGCUGAGCCCUAGCACAAAGGAGUUUUAUUUAAGAAAAAAAAAAAAAAGGGCCACCUGUGACCCCCCCCGGGCACUGGGUCUGGGAAAGCCUGUGCUGUUCUAUGUGCCUGGCACUUCCUUUGCCUGUACAGCUACGCGUGGAUACCCAGAGCCUGGCAAAACAAUCCCAGCUCUUCCCACCCUGGGCAGCGCCACCCCACUGGCACAUCAGCAGCACUAGU